GUGUGUGUGGGGUGUGUGUGCGGUGUGAGGGGCUCUCCUGGGGGCACUGAUGGCAGUGCUGAGCCAGGAGUGCAUCUGAGGCGUGUUGGGCGCCUCGGGGGCCCCUCUGCAACACCGCCCGUGAUUAAAGCCCCAGAAAAGCUCCCCAGGAGAGCCCCGGGCAGCCCAGAGCUCUCCCAGGGUCACCUGUGACCCUGUGAUCUGA